UACGUAGGGGGCAAGCGUUGUCCGGAAUUAUUGGGCGUAAAGAGCGUGUAGGCGGCCAGGUAGGUCUGGUGUGAAAACUCGAGGCUUAACCUCGAGAUGUCAUCGGAAACCAUCUGGCUAGAGUCCGGAAGAGGAGAGUGGAAUUCCUGGUGUAGCGGUGAAAUGCGCAGAUAUCAGGAAGAACACCAAUGGCGAAAGCAGCUCUCUGGGACGGUACUGACGCUGAGACGCGAAAGCGUGGGGAGCGAUCAGG
rnacentral:rRNA from 1 species